UAGGGGAUAUUGCACAAUGGAGGAAACUCUGAUGCAGCGACGCCGCGUGAGUGAUGAAGGCCUUCGGGUCGUAAAGCUCUGUCGCAAGGGAAUAAGAAAGUGAAUGUACCUUGCAAGAAAGGAUCGGCUAACUUCGUGCCAGCAGCCGCGGUAAGACGAGGGAUCCUAGCGUUGUUCGGAAUCAUUGGGCGUAAAGCGGGUGUAGGUGGCCAUGUAAGUCAGAUGUGAAAGCCCAGGGCUUAACCUUGGAAGUGCAUUUGAUACUGCGUGGCUUGAGUGUAGGAGAGGAUAGUAGAAUUCCUGGUGUAGUGGUGAAAUACGUAGAUAUCAGGAGGAAUACCGGAGGCGAAGGCGGCUAUCUGGCCUAACACUGACACUCAGACCCGAAAGCGUGGGGAUCAAACAGGAUUAGAUACCCCUGUAGUCCCUGAGCGGGCUGGCAAGGCGCAU
rnacentral:rRNA from 1 species